ACUCACCAGGUCAGGACACGGUAAGGAUUGACGGACUGAAGGCUCUUUCUCGAUUCCGUGGAAAGUGGUGCAAUGGCCGUUUUUGGUUGGUGGAUCGAUCCGUCUGGUUAAUUCCGUUAACGAACGAGACCUCGGCACUCCGAAUAGCGCGGCGGACGUCGCGGCCUCCGGGACCGUCUUCCGCACCGAGCUUCUUAGAGGGACCGUCCCCCGCCGGGGAAGGAGGUGCGAGGCAACGACAGGUCUGUGAUGCCCUUAGAUGUUCUGGGCCGCACGCGCAUUACACUGACGCGUCCAACGGGUGACUCCCGACCCGAAGGGGCCGGGGAAUCCGCAAGGCGCGUCGUGAUGGGGAUUGAACGUUGCAAUUGUUGUUCACGAACGAGGAAUUCCUAGUAGGCGCGGGUCAUCAACCCGCGCCGA
rnacentral:rRNA from 1 species